rnacentral:rRNA from 1 species
UACGUAGGGGGCAAGCGUUAUCCGGAUUUACUGGGUGUAAAGGGUGCGUAGGUGGUAAUGUAAGUUUGAUGUGAAACCUCAAGGCUUAACCUUGAGCAUGCAUCAAAAACUAUAUAACUAGAGUGCAGGAGAGGAAAGUGGAAUUCCUAGUGUAGCGGUGAAAUGCGUAGAUAUUAGGAGGAACACCAGUAGCGAAGGCGGCUAACUGGACCAUUCUUGACGCUGAGGUACGAAAGCGUGGGGAGCAAACAGG